rnacentral:rRNA from 1 species
GACGAACGCUGGCGGCGUGCUUAACACAUGCAAGUCGAGCGGUAAGGCCCUUUCGGGGGUACGACGAGCGGCGAACGGGUGAGUAACACGUGGGUGACCUGCCCUCAGCUCUGGGAUAAGCCUGGGAAACCGGGUCUAAUACUGGAUAUGACUCCAUGACGCAUGUUGUGGGGUGGAAAGCCUUGUGCGGCUGAGGAUGGGCCCGCGGCCUAUCAGCUUGUUGGUGGGGUGAGGCCUACCAAGGCGACGACGGGUAGCCGGCCUGAGAGGGCGACCGGCCACACUGGGACUGAGACACGGCCCAGACUCCUACGGGAGGCAGCAGUGGGGAAUCUUGCGCAAUGGGCGAAAGCCUGACGCAGCGACGCCGCGUGAGGGAUGACGGCCUGGUG